AUGGAGCCGGAGAGCAUGGUGGUGUAUAUCGACAGCGUCUGGAGGCUCUUGAGGUUGCCGAUCGACGGCGGGAGCUGGCCGGAGAUCUUUGUAUCCGCGAGGCCGAGCACCUCAAGGCUGGACAGCUUGGAGAAUGAGUCGGGGAUCGGGCCGGAGAGGUCGUGGUUGCCACCGGCGCGGAGGGACUCGAGCUGCCGCAGCCCGCCGAGCUCCGCGGGAAGCUCGCCGGAGAGGCGGUUGUCGAACAGCAGCAGGUUCUUCAGCGACCCCGCGAGCCCGCCAAGCUCCGCCGGGAUGGGGCCGGAGAGCAGGUUGGUGUUGACCACCAGCGACUCCAGCGCCGUCAAGUUGCCGAGCGACGCCGGGACGGGGCCCGUGAGGGAGUUGCCGCUGAGGUCAAGCGUGGCGAGGCGGCGGCACAGCGCGAGGUCCUCCGGCACGCCACCCGUCAGGUUGGCAUCCGACACAACAAAGCUAACGAGCCCCGGCAGCGCGGCGCAGAGGCCGGACGGGGCCGGCACGGCGAGGUGGACGGACUGGAAGGUGACGGACACGACCGCCCUGCCGGCGGCGUCGCAGGCGACGUGCGACCACUUGCACGGGGACGAGGCGGCCGGGGCCCAGUCCGGCGGGCGCGAGGGCGACGCGGCCAGCCAUGAGGAGAGGAAGGCGACCUCGGGGUUGGGCGAGGAGGUAGUGGAGGCGGCGGCGGUGGUGGUGGUGGAGGUGGAGGUGAAGAGGAGGAGGUUGAGUAAGAGUGGGAGGAAGAGGAUGAGGUGGAGGGGGCGCAUCGGGGCUGCCGUCGUCGCCGGCAGCAGCGGCAACACUGGCAUCAAAAACUGGGCUCGGCCUUGCUUGGGGCAGUGCAACUGCGUGCACGACACACUAUGGAGGACCGCGACGAUCUCUAUGGAGGUGGCAAUGGAAGUGAGGCUGCCCUCACACACACACACACUCUCUCUCUCUCUCUCUCUCUCUCUCUCUCUCUAG
rnacentral:rRNA from 1 species